rnacentral:lncRNA from 10 species
UUACAAAUUAGACCUACAAGUAGGGCACUGCCAGCCCACACGGAGUCCUUGUGUAAAUUAGAAAAAGAUGACCCUUCCAGGCAGAUGCAGCCUUGUGGGUAACCAGUGAGCAACCAAGGGACAUUUGUGCAAAUUAGAAAAAGCACCUUCUUCCUCUGGUGGGCACAAUCUUGCACCAGAGUGAACAUCUUGAUUUUAUCCUCCCUCCCUGUUGACAAGGUGCUUUUAUGCAGGAUACAACUUGCCCAUGUGACUGCAACAGGACAUAUAAAGGGAUCAUCUGAGAAUUACUCAUGGUCAAAAUGGAAACAAUGCAACCACCAUUCUCAAACUUCAGUGAGUAGAAGAAUCAUGGCAGCUUGCUAAAAUGCCCGAGUCUCAUCUCAGAUAUUCUGAUUCAGGAUGACUGAGGUAAGGUCCAGAGAUAUGCAUUUGUAAUGUGUUCACCUAGGUGUUUUUGAUGCAGGUAAUCCAAAAACAACACUUUGAGAAGUCAAGGUAUGAGAAGCAAAGGCUGUGAGUCAUUUGGCAGCUGAAGAUUUUGCGUAUGUAUCUUUUCUAGGUUACCACCUCAUUGGUUGCUGCAUAUCUGCAUAACCACACUGAAGCAUCCAGGCGCUUUCUGUGUGAAAGGCAGUUGAGAGAAGUUGGGGCUUGGCAUCUGAGCAGAACCUUGACUCUCUUCAAAAGGGGGCUGACACACUGGAGAAACCCUGGAGACCAACAGCUGGCUUGCACAAAACUCGGACCUCAUUGCUCUUCAAAUAUUUAUGAAUAAUUUUCUUCAACGUGUUUGCUAACUGUUAAGAAUAUUAGUUUUUGCUGGUCUUCUUACUCAUGGCCCAUCUGAAGUCCCCUGGCCUGACCCUCCUGUGAAGUCAUCCCGCUGAACGGGCGCCACCGGGUCGGGGCAUUGCCAUAGUGUCAGCCCACGGGGCCAUAAACACAGGCUUUGCUGGAUCCCUGCCCCUUCAACUGGGGGAGGCUGGGUGGUAAGAUGAGAAGGCGCCUUCCUUCCAGCCCAUUUUCUCCAAAGCAGCAAGUUUCGAGAACGUCACAUUUGAUACAUGGCAUAGAAGAGGAAUAUCCUCAAACACAACUUUCGGGUGAUUAUCUCCUAUCCUAAGUGCCAUCUGUAUGGUAUUAUGCUUAUGUGACUGCAUGAAUGUAUAUAUGGACACACACACAUAUACACAUUUUUAAGUUUUCAAGCAAAAUGAGUAUUAGUAAGUAUGAGAAACCUGGCCCAAGUCCCCAUGAGUCUCCUCCCUCUGACUUAUUCCAAGUGACUCCUGCUAAACUCUUUUCCCCCCAUCCCAGUGAGCUUCCCUAAAUGGCUUUCAUCAGUCAUGCCAAAUGGUACACUUGGCUUUGCACAGAGCACAAAUGAGGAUGCACGAAGCCCCUAAAGCUCAUUUUCCAUGCCCAUCUCAAACAGGAAGUGAUCCUAGAUCUCCAAGGGUAAGUGAGCAGUACACAAAUUCACUGUCCCUUUAGCCCUCCUAGGUGGAGGCCCUUUGAGAUUCUUAUGAUUUCUUAAUGGUCUAAUAUAAAGUGUAUCCAUGCACAAGAUACAUCGCCUGAUGUAAGAAUCCAUAACUGCGUCCUGUUAACAGUUCCUGCUGUUUGUGGAGUAUUGUCUUGACAUACUCGUUAAACCUCAAUAAAUAUGUUUUUAAUAACCAUAUGGUAUUUAACAUAUAGUGAGCUCUUUGGGUGUAAAAUGCAAAGAUGGGAUGAAGAGACAUUGCAGCCCUCUGAUUACUCACUUGGGGGAAGUAGAUCAAGGCUAUGAUGUUGCCUGACAGUGAUGGUUGAAGGCAGCUGAGUCCUGUCAUGGAAAAUGUAAAGGCCCUCCCCUUUUUCAUUUCCCUCCAGGAACUUCUGCCUGUAGUAAUAAAGAAUCCUGUGUUCAU